CCAUCAACUCCUGUAUUCCUGCCCUGUGAGAAGCGCAGGCAGAGUAGACGGGGGAGCGGCGCAGUUGACUCACUACAGUGAAGACACCACGGACUGACAGUGGACUCUGUGCUCUACAAGACACAAAAGAAGAAUAUAGUCCCUGAUAUGAUGAGCAUGCAAUCAAAAUAUGCUGUGGAAUGUUGAUGUAAUAUGUUUGACUAUCACCAUCUCUCUGGGUGAUGGAAGACAAGGCAGAACUGGGCUGCAGAAAAUAGAGAAUCCCAUUCAAAGUAGCCGAGUAAAGCUGUGACCAGCCUUUGUGUUGUUCCAAGCAACAAUGACUCUUGUCACUGGCCUACACAUCUCCAGGGAGAAGGGACAGAUCUAAAGCAGUGGCUCUCAACCUUUCUAGACUACUGUAUCUCUUUCAGCAGUCUGAUUUGUCUUGCAUACCCCAAGUUUCACCUCACUUAAAAACUGAUUGCUUACAAAAUCAGGCAUAAAAUACAGAAGUGUCACAGCACACUAGUACUGAAAAAUUGCACGUUUUCAUUUUUACCAUAUAAUUAUAAAAUAAAUCAAUUGGAAUAUAAUUAUUUACUUAGAUUUCACUGUAUAGUCUAUAGAGCAGUAUAAACAAGUAAUUGUCUGCAUCAAA